rnacentral:rRNA from 1 species
GAUGAACGCUGACAGAAUGCUUAACACAUGCAAGUCUACUUGAACUUCGGUUUGGGUGGCGGACGGGUGAGUAACGCGUAAAGAACUUGCCUCACAGUUAGGGACAACAUUUGGAAACGAAUGCUAAUACCUGAUAUUAUGAUUUUAGGGCAUCCUAGGAUUAUGAAAGCUAUAUGUGCUGUGAGAGAGCUUUGCGUCCCAUUAGCUAGUUGGAGAGGUAACGGCUCACCAAGGCGAUGAUGGGUAGCCGGCCUGAGAGGGUGAACGGCCACAAGGGGACUGAGACACGGCCCUUACUCCUACGGGAGGCAGCAGUGGGGAAUAUUGGACAAUGGACCAAAAGUCUGAUCCAGCAAUUCUGUGUGCACGAUGACGUUCUUCGGAAUGUAAAGUGCUUUCAGUUGGGAAGAAAAAAAUGACGGUACCAACAGAAGAAGUGACGGCUAAAUACGUG